rnacentral:rRNA from 1 species
AAUNCGUGGUACUUCAGGNCGGGGACAACCACUGGAAACGGUGGCUAAUACCGGAUGUGCCGGAAGGUGAAAGAUUUAUUGCCUGAAGAUGAGCUCGCGUCUGAUUAGCUAGUUGGUAGUGUAAGAGACUACCAAGGCGACGAUCAGUAGCUGGUCUGAGAGGAUGAUCAGCCACACUGGGACUGAGACACGGCCCAGACUCCUACGGGAGGCAGCAGUGGGGAAUUUUCCGCAAUGGGCGAAAGCCUGACGGAGCAAUACCGCGUGAGGGAGGAAGGCUCUUGGGUUGUAAACCUCUUUUCUCAAGGAAGAAAAAAAUGACGGUACUUGAGGAAUAAGCAUCGGCUAACUCCGUGCCAGCAGCCGCGGUAAUACGGAGGAUGCAAGCGUUAUCCGGAAUGAUUGGGCGUAAAGCGUCCGCAGGUGGCGAUGAAAGUCUGCUGUUAAAGAGUGAGGCUCAACCUCAUAAAAGCAGUGGAAACUACAUAGCUAGAGUACGUUCGGGGCAGAGGGAAUUCCUGGUGUAGCGGUGAAAUGCGUAGAGAUCAGGAAGAACACCGGUGGCGAAAGCGCUCUGCUAGGCCGUAACUGACACUGAGGGACGAAAGCUAGGGGAGCGAAUGGGAUUAGAUACCCCAGUAGUCAUACUGANAGGGAAACACACCCCGCGAGAAAGAGAAAAUCACCCCCCGUUCUCACANUGGUUCCUUUCCCGCACUAACUAUAAACCUCUACUAUGUUCCAGCUUUUCUCUUCG